rnacentral:rRNA from 1 species
UACAGAGGGUGCGAGCGUUGUCCGGAAUCACUGGGCGUAAAGGGCGCGUAGGUGGCGGGCCAAGUCCAUGGUGAAAGCUCGAUGCUCAACAUCGAGUCGGCCACGGAUACUGGUGCGCUGGAGCACUGUAGAGGCUAAUGGAAUUCCGGGUGUAGCGGUGGAAUGCGUAGGAGAUCCGGAAGAACACCGGGUGGCGAAGGCGG